rnacentral:tRNA from 3 species
GCUGGGGUACCCAAGUGGACAACGGGGGUAGACUGUAAAUCUACUGGCCUCUGGCCUACACAAGUUCGAAUCUUGUCCCCAGCA